rnacentral:rRNA from 1 species
UACGAAGGGGGCUAGCGUUGUUCGGAUUUACUGGGCGUAAAGCGCAUGUAGGCGGGUCGUUAAGUCGGGGGUGAAAGCCCAGAGCUCAACUCUGGAACUGCCUUCGAUAGUGGCGACCUGGAGCAGGUCAGAGGCGAGUGGAAUUGCGGGUGUAGAGGUGAAAUUCGUAGAUAUUCGCAGUAACACCAGUGGCGAAGGCGACUCGCUGGGACCUUGCUGACGCUGAGAUGCGACAGCGUCGGGUGCAAACAGG